AAUUCGAAGCAACGCGUAAGAACCUUACCAGGUCUUGACAUCCCGAUGCUAUUUCUAGAGAUAGAAAGUUACUUCGGUACAUCGGUGACAGGUGGUGCAUGGUUGUCGUCAGCUCGUGUCGUGAGAUGUUGGGUUAAGUCCCGCAACGAGCGCAACCCCUAUUGUUAGUUGCCAUCAUUCAGUUGGGCACUCUAGCGAGACUGCCGGUAAUAAACCGGAGGAAGUGGGGAUGACGUCAAAUCAUCAUGCCCCUUAUGACCUGGGCUACACACGUGCUACAAUGGUUGGUACAACGAGUUGCGAGUCGGUGACGGCGAGCUAAUCUCUUAAAGCCAAUCUCAGUUCGGAUUGUAGGCUGCAACUCGCCUACAUGAAGUCGGAAUCGCUAGUAAUCGCGGAUCAGCACGCCGCGGUGAAUACGUUCCCGGGCCUU
rnacentral:rRNA from 1 species